GAUGAACGCUGGCGGCGUGCUUAACACAUGCAAGUCGAGCGAUGAAGUUUCCUUUGGGAAACGGAUUAGCGGCGGACGGGUGAGUAACACGUGGGUAACCUGCCUCAUAGAGUGGAAUAGCCUUCCGAAAGGAAGAUUAAUACCGCAUAACGUUGAAAGAUGGCAUCAUCAUUUAACCAAAGGAGCAAUCCGCUAUGAGAUGGACCCGCGGCGCAUUAGCUAGUUGGUGGGGUAACGGCCUACCAAGGCGACGAUGCGUAGCYGACCUGAGAGGGUGAUCGGCCACAUUGGGACUGAGACACGGCCCAGACUCCUACGGGAGGCAGCAGUGGGGAAUAUUGCACAAUGGGGGAAACCCKGAUGCAGCAACGCCGCGUGAGUGAUGAAGGUUUUCGGAUCGUAAAGCUCUGUCUUUGGGGAAGAUAAUGACGGWACC
rnacentral:rRNA from 1 species